AGGCCACUGCUAUCAGAGAUCGAUUAAGCCAUGCGAGUCGAGAGGUGUAAGACCUCGGCAUACUGCUCAGUAACACGUGGACAACCUACCCUAAGGAGGGGGAUAACCCCGGGAAACUGGGGAUAAUACCCCAUAGACUAUGGAUGCUGGAAUGCUUCGUAGUUCAAAGGUCCGCCGCCUUAGGAUGGGUCUGCGGCCGAUUAGGUUGUUGUUGGGGUAACGGCCCAACAAGCCUGUAAUCGGUACGGGUUGUGGGAGCAAGAGCCCGGAGAUGGAUUCUGAGACACGAAUCCAGGCCCUACGGGGCGCAGCAGGCGCGAAAACUUUACAAUGCGAGAAAUCGUGAUAAGGGAACUCUGAGUGCCCGUAAAAUCGGGCUGUCCAUCUGUUUAAAUAACAGGUGAAGAAAGGGCCGGGCAAGACCGGUGCCAGCCGCCGCGGUAAUACCGGCGGCUCGAGUGGUGGCCACUAUUACUGGGCUUAAAGCGUCCGUAGCUGGUCUGUUAAGUCUCUGGGGAAAUCUUCCGGCUCAACCGGAAGGCGUCUCAGGGAUACUGGCAGACUAGGGACCGGGAGAGGUGAGAGGUACUCCAGGGGUAGGAGUGAAAUCCUGUAAUCCUUGGGGGACCACCUGUGGCGAAGGCGUCUCACCAGAACGGCUCCGACAGUGAGGGACGAAAGCUGGGGGAGCAAACCGGAUUAGAUACCCGGGUAGUCCCAGCCGUAAACGAUGCGCGUUAGGUGUAUCGGUGACCACGAGUCACCGAGGUGCCGAAGAGAAAUCGUGAAACGCGCCGCCUGGGAAGUACGGUCGCAAGGCUGAAACUUAA
rnacentral:rRNA from 1 species